CAGCUAAUGAUGUCCUGCGAAAACAACACAAACUUACUACAACCUGAUCUUAUUUGAAAGGGUAUUGGAGACAGUACUAACCCGUGUGAACUAUAUCGAUCUGAAGCUA
rnacentral:snoRNA from 1 species